AUUGAACGCUGGCGGCAGGCCUAACACAUGCAAGUCGAGCGGAUGAGGAAAGCUUGCUUUUCGAUUCAGCGGCGGACGGGUGAGUAAUGCCUAGGAAUCUGCCUGUUAGUGGGGGAUAACUCGGGGAAACUCGGGCUAAUACCGCAUACGUCCUACGGGAGAAAGUGGGGGAUCUUCGGACCUCACGCUAACAGAUGAGCCUAGGUCGGAUUAGCUAGUAGGUGAGGUUAUGGCUCACCUAGGCGACGAUCCGUAACUGGUCUGAGAGGAUGAUCAGUCACACUGGAACGGAGACACGGGCCAGACUCCUACGGGAGGCAGCAGUGGGGAAUAUUGGACAAUGGGCGAAAGCCUGAUCCAGCCAUGCCGCGUGUGUGAAGAAGGUCUUCGGAUUGUAAAGCACUUUAAGUUGGGAGGAAGUGUAUUCACCUAAUACGUGGGUACUUUGACGUUACCAACAGAAUAAGCACCGGCUAACUCUGUGCCAGCAGCCGCGGUAACAC
rnacentral:rRNA from 1 species